UACGUAGGGUGCAAGCGUUAAUCGGAAUUACUGGGCGUAAAGCGUGCGCAGGCGGUUUUGUAAGUCUGUCGUGAAAUCCCCCGGGCUCAACCUGGGAAUUGCGAUGGAGACUGCAAGGCUAGAAUCUGGCAGAGGGGGGUAGAAUUCCACGUGUAGCAGUGAAAUGCGUAGAGAUGUGGAGGAACACCGAUGGCGAAGGCAGCCCCCUGGGUCAAGGAUUGACGCUCAUGCACGAAAGCGUGGGGAGCAAACAGG
rnacentral:rRNA from 1 species